ACGAACGCUGGCGGCGUGCUUAACACAUGCAAGUCGAACGGAAAGGCCCUGCUUUUGUGGGGUGCUCGAGUGGCGAACGGGUGAGUAACACGUGAGUAACCUGCCCUUGACUUUGGGAUAACUUCAGGAAACUGGGGCUAAUACCGGAUAGGAGCUCCUGCUGCAUGGUGGGGGUUGGAAAGUUUCGGCGGUUGGGGAUUGACUCGCGGCUUAUCAGCUUGUUGGUGGGGUAGUGGCUUACCAAGGCUUUGACGGGUAGCCGGCCUGAGAGGGUGACCGGCCACAUUGGGACUGAGAUACGGCCCAGACUCCUACGGGAGGCAGCAGUGGGGAAUAUUGCACAAUGGGCGGAAGCCUGAUGCAGCAACGCCGCGUGCGGGAUGACGGCCUUCGGGUUGUAAACCGCUUUCGCCUGUGACGAAGCGUGAGUGACGGUAAUGGGUAAAGAAGCACCGGCUAACUACGUG
rnacentral:rRNA from 1 species